rnacentral:lncRNA from 1 species
CAAAAAUGUCGGUUAUUGAUUUGGGGAUGCUCGGCGGCGGACGGGCGGUCGGGCGGUCGGGCGGGCGGCAAUCAAAUGUUGUCCGUGUAUUAACUCAUGAACCGUUCAACCAAAGCUUUUAAUAUGUUGUUACUGACAUCUAAAUGAAGGUCAAGGUCAAUAAUGGCGAUUUUGACUUUUACCGUUCAGGAGUUAUGGUUCUUGAAAGAUUGAAAAAUGGAGUUUCCAGGCGUGUCCGUGCAUUUACGCAUGAACCGUUCUACCACAGCUUUCCAAAUUUUAAUAUGUUGUUACUGGUGACAAAAUGGAGGUCAAGUUCAAUAACGACGAUUUUGACUUUUACCGUUCAGGAGUUAUGGUUCUUGAAAGAUUGAAAAAUGGUGUUUCCAGUCGUGUC